AGGAGAUCCAGGGCCGGGCCGGAGCUGGGAAGACAGCGCUAAUGAGAACACUGAGAUGCAUUCCAGGCGAAAGGGUAACCCAAAAAUGAGCUGGAAUUCUGGACGAGAUCACCUGAUGCCUGAGUUUCUGGGGCUGCUUCCCCCUCUCCAGACGCGGAUACUGAGACUCAAGAGGCCACCCCAGUGUGGACCGCUGGUGCACGACAGAAUCGGGAUUCUGACCAGAGCUGUCUGGUCCCAGAGCCUGUGCUUGUGACUGUGAUGUGAUGCAGGAGAGUGGACUAUACCAGCGUGUAGACUGCCUGGAACAAAUAGAAACCCAGCUGAGUUCCUGCAAUUUACAUAGGUGAAUCUAGAAAUGGAAUUGCCUAAGGAUUUGGCAGAAGGUGAAAAAGAAGAGCUAAAGAGGAGCAUAGAAGGAGACACUUGGCCUUUGUGUCCAGAGAAGAAAGAGAAUGCCUUUGGGGAGGUUGCGAUCACCAGACGGCUGGCCCUCAGCAACACUGAAGCCCAGAAGUCGGAUUGCCCAGCGGCUUAUGGGGAGUGACCCCUUUGUUUCUCUGAAGCCGUCUCCUCCUAAUCCCCUUAGCUCUAUAAAAGCCCGCUGCUUUCUGUUCUUGGGGAGACAGACUCCAGCAAACCCAGGCUCCCAUCCACUCAUUUUGGCCAAUUUAAUUAAAUCUUUCUCCAUCUCCAAGCACCGGUGUCUCAGUGUUUGGCUUGCUGUGCAUCGGGCACACAAGCUUGAGAUUAAGAGGUUCAGUAUCGAUCAUUCUGUUUAAUUGCCUGAAACACAAGGCUCAAAUGAUCCUGAGAAGAAGACUGGCUCGCACACAGCCUAGUAGAGCUCAGUGCUGGACCGCUGUGAAAAAUUCCAAUCCAAUGGUGGCUUGUUUAUUUUAAAUUAUUCAAAAUCAUUUUAAAGCCUUAAAAAUGGAAGUAGUUGCAACUUCAUGUGGUGAAAUAACAUGGGUAUUUGAGAAGAGAAAUGUGAUAUUGUUUAUAAUGAUAAUAAUAUCGGCCACCACGUACUAGCCCUUACUGUGUUCCAGGUUUUCUACUAACUGCUCUGUAUACCUGCUCUUCAACCCAAAUAGUUCUCAGGGUUAGCACAGUGCUUCUCAUUUUCUGCUUGCUGUCUUCAUUUCUACUUUGUUAAUCUUAAUGCAUACACACUCUUUAUCUUAACACACUUCAAAUUUCUUUUGAAACGAGGCAGCAUUCUGAUCAAUGAAAAUAUUUUGGAGUGAUUUUCUAAAGAGUGAUCGUAAAGGCUUUAGUUUAUCUUAAAUUCUAGAGAAUGGAUGGUUUACCCAGAAGGAAGACAACAGCCGUUCCUGUUAAAUUAUUCUGCUAAUGUUUACUUUGGAAAACGGUGGUAUUUUAUGCAAACAAAAUUGGAAAGCCUCCAUUUGGGCUCUGCAGGGACAAAGGCCUUUCCUGUGACUAAGGAUUGUCUGGUGGGGCUUCUGGAGGAAGGCUUCGUCAAUUCCACACCUGCCCGUGGAUCACACGGGGCAUGUGGGGUGGGUUCUAGAAUGAAGUCUGACUCACUCUUUUUCAAUAUAAAUAAUGUGUAUUCAUAUACAUGUAAUUGUUGUACUUUAUGAACAAUUUAUAUAUGUGUGUGCAUAUAAAUAUACUAUGUAUGCGAUCAUUUCUUUAAGCUAUUUCUCCCUAAUUAGCCCUCCAUUAAUUGUGCAAACUACUUAUGCACAAUAACCUAUUGAAAUACAAACUGUUCAGACAAUUCAGACUUCCAGAGAGGAGGACAGCUGCUCACAGAUGAGGACUCUUGCCCUUGGCAAGCUGUUUUUGAGGGAGCUGUCAGAAAUCUGAGAGGGACAACUAACACCUCCACUCAAGGGCAGGAGAAGCGCCCUCCAGCUGGCAGCUCACUCUAUCACUUGGGUGGACGUUCCUUCUGGGGCUGGGAUCCCUUUAUCUAUCCCAGUCACACUGCCAUUGGGAGAGGCUUUGGGAGGGCGGGGAGGGGACAUCAGGUGAGGUCAUUGCUCAAGAAUCAGGGUUGUUGACUCAAAGAUCCUCUCACGAAUUUCCAGGUGCCUUCUAAGCAAGGUUUAAAGGAAACUACACAACAAAGCAAGUGGUCCUUAGAAUCUGAAGGACAAGGCAGUUCACUGUCGCUAAAUGGAAGCUUUGUUAUUAAAAGAGCUCUUAUCUGGUGAGGCUCUGAGGUAAAACCAGUUAAGUCCUGACUUGCUGUUUUUGUGUUUUAAUGUUGUGCUUUGGCGAGUUCUUAUUUUGACCUAGCGGGG
ensembl:lncRNA